AAAACUCGACGCUUCUCCUUCGUCUUCACUCUUCACCACGCGGCUGGCGUGGGCGGCGCCGCCAAGCACCCGUGACGGAGCCCCAACGCCGCCGCGCGCGACACAACGUUCAAGCGCACAACCCAUAAACUCGACGCGAUCUUCAUGAAGCAAAACGAUGGCGAACACGAUGGGGACGAACUUACUGAUGAUUGGUAGCACAGACGCCGCAGCUCAUGGCGGCAAGCGGAUUCGCGGCGGCGAUAUUGCUCCGGUGGGCAAUCGCCGGUGACCUGAGACCACAUACCGCCCACCAAUGCCACGGAAAGUUUGCCUGCACACCGGUGAUCAUCCCCGACCACACCAUACCCGUAGAGCGACCCUGGAGGAGCGGGACCUUGGCGGCGCGUGCUCCAUGCUGUUGACGCGAAUCCGACGAUGAAUAUAGGCCAUCCAUGCUGCCCACCGAGCCUGAAUCUGCCCCGACCACACUUGGCGCAAUGCGGAAGGACUUCCCCCCGGCCGCACGACUGCCCCAGAGCGAGGGUACUCGCUGGAAUCACUCAUGGCGGCAAGCCUCCCCGACUCUGCCCGCAUGGAUCACGCGGCGGCGAAGUUUUGAUGGGUUCCCACGACGACUUGUUGGAUGGCAACGGGUGUAGGUGCUCAAUAUUUACUAAGCAAGGAAAAAUCUAGAGCCCGGUUGUUAGGAGAUGCUAGGAG
rnacentral:lncRNA from 7 species